AGUCCGUGCAGGUUAAGACCCUCUUACUAGCGGCUGCCCAAGGGUACACUCCCUUACAAUUCAAAGGAGCCACACUGACAGUGUUCCCUGAUCUAACAAGAGGCACCAUUGAGUGGCACAGGGCCCUGCGGCCACUACUACCUUUGCUCCGUGACAGGGGAAUACAAUACUGGUGGGGGACACCGAGAUUGCUGCUCUUCCAACAUCAGGGCACAACACACUGAGCUCGCUGCUUCUCC